ACUCCUACGGGAGGCAGCAGUGGGGAAUAUUGCACAAUGGGCGCAAGCCUGAUGCAGCCAUGCCGCGUGUGUGAAGAAGGCCUUCGGGUUGUAAAGCACUUUCAGUCGUGAGGAAGGUGGUAGUGUUAAUAGCACUAUCAUUUGACGUUAGCGACAGAAGAAGCACCGGCUAACUCCGUGCCAGCAGCCGCGGUAAUACGGAGGGUGCGAGCGUUAAUCGGAAUUACUGGGCGUAAAGCGCAUGCAGGUGGUUGUUAAGUCAGAUGUGAAAGCCCGGGGCUCAACCUCGGAAUAGCAUUUGAAACUGGCAGACUAGAGUACUGUAGAGGGGGUAGAAUUUCAGGUGUAGCGGUGAAAUGCGUAGAGAUCUGAAGGAUACCGGUGGCGAAGCGGCCCCUGGACAGAUACUGACACUCAGAUGCGAAAGCGUGGGAGCAAACAGGAUUAGAUACCCCGUGGUAGCGACU
rnacentral:rRNA from 1 species